rnacentral:rRNA from 1 species
CCCUUAGAUGUUCUGGGCCGCACGCGCGCUACACUGAUGCAUUCAACGAGUUUCUUCCUGGUCCGAGAGGAAAGGGUAACCUUUUGAAAGUGCAUCGUGAUAGGGAUAGACUAUUGCAAUUAUUGGUCUUCAACGAGGAAUUCCUAGUAGACGUAGUUCAUCAGACUGCAUCGAUUACGUCCCUGCCCUUUGUACACACCGCCCGUCGCUCCUACCGAUUGAAUGCUCAGGUGAGCCAUUCGGACUUUCAUCAUGCUGGUUUCCAGUUUUGAUGAAGGAAAGUCUUGCGAACCUUAUCAUUUAGAGGAAGGAGAAGUCGUAACA